AUCGUUCAACCCAUACGGGUCGCAAGUAAGUCACGGAACGGAGC
rnacentral:ncRNA from 1 species